rnacentral:rRNA from 1 species
GAUGAACGCUAGCUACAGGCUUAACACAUGCAAGUCGAGGGGAAACGAUAGAGAAAGCUUGCUUUUUCUAGGCGUCGACCGGCGCACGGGUGAGUAACGCGUAUCCAACCUGCCCAUCACUUGGGGAUAACCUUGCGAAAGUAAGACUAAUACCCAAUGACGUCUCUAGAAGACAUCUGAAGGAGAUUAAAAGAUUUAUCGGUGAUGGAUGGGGAUGCGUCUGAUUAGCUUGUUGGCGGGGUAACGGCCCACCAAGGCGACGAUCAGUAGGGGUUCUGAGAGGAAGGCCCCCCCACAUUGGAACUGAGACACGGUCCAAACUCCUACGGGAGGCAGCAGUGAGGAAUAUGGUCAAUGGACGAGAGUCUGAACCAGCCAAGUAGCGUGCAGGAUGACGGCCCUAUGGGUUGUAAACUGCUUUUAUAAGGGAUAAAGUGAGUCUCGUGAGACUUUUUGCAUGUACCUUAUGAAUAAGGACCGGCUAAUUCCGUGUCCC